rfam:Oryza glumipatula chromosome 3, whole genome shotgun sequence.
AAAAAGACAAAUCCUGAAUUUCCGUGUCUAACAUUUAACUGUCCGUCUUAUAUGAAAUUUUUUUAUAAUUAGUAUUUCCAUUGUUGUUGAUGAUAAAACAUGAUUAAUACUUUAUACAUGACUUAUCUUUUUAAUUUUUUUAUAAUUUUUUAAAUAAGGCGAACGGUCAAACGUUGGAUACGGAAAUCCAAAGUUUGUCUUUUU